GUAAGGAGAAGUAAAGAGAAGCAAGAACGAGAAGGGAAACGGUGAACGAUAAAACGAAGGGGACAGGCACAGAGAAGCGGUAUCUAUUUUUGUUAGUUUCGUCGAUGGGUUGUGUGUUGUGUGGAUUUUCCCGUUCUCCGUUCGCUGCUACCCCUACCGAAGACAUUACAUUUAGAUAUACACGCGAUCCAGUAAAUUCUUUUUACAACACGGUUAAAUCAGCAUGAGAUGAAAGGCAGGGUAGAGCGUGUAGGAUCGGUUAGUAUUAAUGCGGACAGCACAUUAGACACGUCUCCGUGAAGUAUCUAACAAAGAUAAAGUGGGCAAGAGGAACUGAGAAGAACUAUAGCAGAGCAUUGGUACUCUGUGCGAAAUAGAGAGAAAAAGAAGGAACGAGCAGGAAGAGAAGGAAAGAGAAGGAGGAACGAAGGAGAGAGAGAGAGAGAGAGAGAGAGAGAGAGAGAGAAAGAGAGGAAGAGAGAUAGAGAGAGUCUCUUUGAUCCGCUUAGGCUGACUGCGCCAUCAAAGUAAUCCGACAGUAGAUUACUUUCAAUACAUACAUACUACAUACGUAUGCUCGCUUGUCCGGCAGCCGACUCGUGUUAAAAUCCUACCGUGUGGGUGUAUCCGUUUGUACUCACUCGUGUCUACGUAUAUGCAAGACUAACCGCCAUAUCUACCGUCGAUUUAUGCGGUCAACAACGCGAUAUCUCGCUCAAAGCGAGUCGUCGACCAUCUCGGUUCUCUCGGUCGACGUACGAAAAUAGCGACCAGUAUGCAGAAAACUUUGUAUGCCUACGAUCUACGAUCCAACUCGCAUGUACAUUCUCCGAAAUUCUCGUAAUUCGUGCUGAAUCACCCAGGGAUUUACAUAUGAGCCAAAGAGUUAAUUCUUGCACUGUGAUAUCGGCCGAAUAUGUAAUCGCUGUCUAGACGUUCAACAAAUAUCUAGAUAAUAUUUCAGUAAAUGUAGACAGUAGACACGCUUUGAGGUUCGUAGUUCUUUCCUUGUCCGGUUUAAGAUACGAGCCCGGACUACGAUUUUAUGAAACGAACAAUUACGAGAAGGUAAGACAGUUGGUACGAUCGAACUUCCGAGGAGGCGCAAGAAGAGUGAAAUAGUGGAGGACGAAUGGAAAAUCGCGGCAAGGCACAUGAAUCUAAGCACGGUAAGCGGAAUUUCAUUUCCACGUUCACGACAACAAUGCUACUCGACUAUUACCUAUGGUGCGCGCAACUUAUUACGGAUCCACGCAAACGACUAUAGGACGUAGAUUAUCGAGAUUAAACGAGCUAUGACUGGCAUCGUUAGACGAAGAAAAGAAAAGGUAGUGGAUCGACAAAAUAAUUAAUCGCAGCGAUCGGCAUGGUGUUGGCGGUUCUAGUAGAAACGAAGCGAGCGAAGAGGAGCCGGUUGCACGUCAAGUAUGCGCGGAAUGAAAACUGUCAGUGGCCUGACACGGCGGACUGGUUGGGGGCGACAGCUUGCUAAAUGCACAACCACCCCGGCUGACUCUAGUCAACGUCUGCAUACCAUCUACCUGCCUCUGCUUCUACCGUCACCGCCUCCGCCUCCGCCUGCACCACCACCGACGCCGCUACUGCUGCUGCCAUCGCUCGAAAAGUACACCUCUCGAUAUUGUUGUCCAUGCGUUAGAAUUUUUCUGUGGCUCAACCAUAAAAAAAUCAACCGAAAUUUAUACAUAUAUCAAAAUGUAUAAAUAAAUGACCGGAAAAAUAAUUUGCAGAUACGUGAUAUUGACGUAUCGCGACCGAUACAUAGUCCAUUAACCUCUCGCCAACGGCGGAAAGGUACAACGAACUGCCGAAAACCACUUUAACUGCUUACCGCGAGACCGCAGAAGCAAUGAUUCAACUUGUCGAUAUCGAUUUCCUGGAGCUGCUUCAACCAAGGUAUCAACGAGUCACUGGUUUUUUUCGGCCCACAUAUUAUACGUCAGUGGCCGUGUUCAUUCGCCGACUCAUGGGAUAAUGCGAUGCGACGAGCGUCAAAAUUUCAAGCUGUCGUAGGAACUGCUUUUCGAACAGACUUAACCGAAGACAAGGAAGAUGGAUUAUAUACUUUAAUUUUCAUACUGUGUAUAUAAUUGAGGGUUGUUCGUCGUAUAUGCGUUAUAAACGCAACGUUUCCGAAUAUAUUAUAACUUUUUAAUAUACAGACAUGUAUGCAGGUGCUACCAUAGUUGAAAAGUUUACGUCUUAUGUAUACAAUUUUUAUAAAUAUCCUGUUAUAUGUUUAUGUUCGCCGAUUAAAUUCUGACCAAAACCCAAGCUUUUCUAUUAUCGUAGCUGUGUAUUAAUUUUAUUUUAUCUCUUCUUAAAUUUAAAUAAAGCAACUAUUAUUUCGA